rnacentral:rRNA from 1 species
UUCCGGUUGAUCCUGCCGGAAGUUACUGCUAUCGAGGUUCGACUAAGCCAUGCGAGUCGAAUGUAGCAAUACAUGGCGAACUGCUCAGUAGCACGUGGACAACCCGCCCUUAGGACGGGGAUAAACCCGGGAAACUGGGUAUAAUACCCGAUAGGUCUCGAUUGCUGGAAUGCAUCGAGAUUUAAAGCUCCGGCGCCUAAGGAUGGGUCUGCGGCCUAUCAGGUAGUAGUGGGUGUAGCGUACCUACUAGCCUACGACGGGUACGGGUUGUGAGAGCAAAAGCCCGGAGAUGGAUUCUGAGACACGAAUCCAGGCCCUACGGAGUGCAGCAGGCGCGAAAACUUUACAAUGCUGGCAACAGCGAUAAGGGAACCUCGAGUGCCAGGUUACAAAUCUGGCUGUCGAGAUGCCUAAAAAGCAUUUCAUAGCAAGGGCCGGGCAAGACCGGUGCCUGCCGCCGCGGUAAUACCGGCAGCUCAAGUGGUAGCCGCGAUUAUUGGGCCUAAAGCGUUCGUAGCCGGAUAAGUAAGUCUUUGGUUAAAUCCUGCGACUUAACCGUGGGAAAUCUAGAGAUACUGCUCAUCUUGAGACCGGGAGAGGUUGGAGGUACUCCUAGGGUAGGGGUAAAAUCCUGUAAUCCUAGGGGGACCACCUGUGGCGAAGGCGUCCAACUGGAACGGGUCUGACGGUGAGGGACGAAACCUAGGGGAGCGAGCCGGAUUAGAUACCCGGGUAGUCCUAGGCGUAAAUGAUGCGAGUUAAGUGUGGGGGCAUCUACGAGAUGGCCCUGUGCUGUAGGGUAGCCGUUAAACUCGCCGCCUGGGGAGUACGGUCGCAAGGCUGAAACUUAAAGGAAUUGGCGGGGGAGCACCACAAGAGGUGGAGGCUGCGGUUCAAU